rnacentral:lncRNA from 1 species
AAAUCAUCGAGGCCAUCAAAGAGACCGAGGGUCGCCGCUUCAUCUCCGACCAGAGCCGGAGAAAGGACCUCUCCGACCGGCCACUGCCGGAAAGACGAAGCCCAAAUCCCCAACUACUAACUAUUCCGGAGGCAGCAACCAUCUUACUGGCGUCCCUUCAGAAAUCACCAGAAGAUGAAGAAAAAAACUUUGAUCAAACCAGAUUCCUGGAAGACAGUCUGCUUAACUGCUUUUGUCGGUCUUGGGGAAAAGGAUGAAGAAAUGACUACAGUGGAGAGAUGGAGUCACCUGGCAGCAGCUGUCUGAAUAGGGGACUGAGUACAGGAUAGAAGGUGAUUCCUACACAUACUGCCAAAGCCAGCCUCCUCUUCCUCAUCGUAUCUCUCAUCCUCCACUUCAUCUUCCACAUCACUGCUCUGAGGACUGGAGGCCUGAGACCCUGAAGGAGAAGGUGGUACUGAGGAAGGCCUGGGAUAUUUAAAUCCUUCUGUCUGCCAAAGACAAAAAUAAGACAUAAACAUCACAACAGUUUCUUGGCUUUCAACGAUGUAAAUACUAUGCAUGCACUAUCAAUUUUUUAAGUAGUUAUCUAUCUUUUGUAGUCUGGGUGCUAUUAAACUUUGAUUCAUUUUGAUUUUGAUACCA